UACAGAGGUCUCAAGCGUUGUUCGGAUUCAUUGGGCGUAAAGGGUGCGUAGGCGGCGCGGUAAGUCGGGUGUGAAAUCUCGGAGCUUAACUCCGAAACUGCAUUCGAUACUGCCGUGCUUGAGGACUGGAGAGGAGACUGGAAUUUACGGUGUAGCGGUGAAAUGCGUAGAUAUCGUAAGGAAGACCAGUGGCGAAGGCAAUCCCCUGGGCCUGCACUGACGCUCAUGCACGAAAGCGUGGGGAGCAAACAGG
rnacentral:rRNA from 1 species